GCGAUGAAAAAGUGAUUCGAAUGGUACGACCUGUAGUUCCAUCUUGCGGUGGAAAAGUGAGGCGAAUGGUACGCCGUAUAGUGGCAUCUCGCGGUAAAAAAGUGAGGUGAAUGGUACGCUAUCUAGGGGUCGGUAACACAGCUUGUAAUAAUUUAGUCACAUGAUAUUGUGACAGGAAAACAAAACAAGAAUUUUAAAUCACGGUAUAAAGCUUUUUUUGUCACGGUCUGCAAGGAAAUGACUCGGAAAUGGAAAUUAUGUCACUGUCUAUGUUCAACAACCAUUUGUGUAGCACCAGUAGGUAGGGAAAAUUUAAUUUGCAUUUCGUAAUUGUUUUGCCAGGGUUAUGCUGAGUGAACUUGCAGUUUUGGUAAAGUUAUUCAAGAUAAUUGCAAAUAGUAGUCCCAGAAUCAGAAGAAUUUUGUCUGACAUCUUUACUACGUGAACUUUAAAAGGCCUUGAUAUAUCAAAGGGCGCCCAAUGGAGAAAUUGUGCUUCUUCAACGAUCAAACUCAUCGAUUCCAACAGCCUGUUUGCAAACUUUCAGCCAAUGCGUUGCAAGGAAUGUAUUUCUAAUCCAGUCUUCGACACACUCAAUGCCAAGCUACCACCUUUCGAUACUUAAAAGCGAGGACCGAAUGGCACCUACACUUGGACUGGAUCGGACCGUUAUUUGGUCGAAUGGCUAGCAGCAAAAAUUAAACUUUACGUAUUCGUUCGUGCUAAUUAAUCAAACUAUUGCCAAUAUGUACGGGACGCAUGAGGGGUAUCGAUGGCGUGGCGAACUCUUUCUACUUAACGAUGGAUCGUGUAGCAAUGAUGGACUAUACUUUCCUGACAUGUGGGGAUGGAUUUAGCCUUGUUGUGCCACAUAUCAAGGAAUGUGAAGAACACUUUGAGUCCGUCUACCAUUGAUUCACAAUCAAACAGCCAACCCAAAGAAGUAAGCAAUAUUGCGCAGCAAAGAAGUCUUUUUACUUCAUUUGGAUUUCAUAUGAUCUACGUGAUGAACAUCAUGACGAAUCAAGGUGAUAAUCAAGUUUUUUUUGCCCUUAAGAAAUUAUGGUUUAAUUCUAGGCAUUGGUACUGGACUUGGAUUCUUGACGUUUUUGGUUGAACAGAUUUAUUCAAACUACAAGAAGCACAGACAUAGUUAGUUGGCGUUAAUUUAAAAAAACAAAAACAAUACUUCAGUUUUAUGGUAAGCUUGAUUAGUGGAUAAUCCAUUAGUAACUUUUUUUACAUUUUGAAAGUAAGCUUGAAUAUAGGAGAGAAUUAGCGUUUGAUAGUAGUGAAGCUUAUUUUCGUUUCUUGAAAAUUUCGCUAUCUGCUGCAAAAUGAAUAUAUAGAAAUGUGUUGUUUUCCUUUCUUU